AGAGUUUGAUCCUGGCUCAGAGUGAACGCUGGCGGCAGGCCUAACACAUGCAAGUCGAACGGCAGCACAGAGGAGCUUGCUCCUUGGGUGGCGAGUGGCGGACGGGUGAGGAAUACGUCGGAAUCUGCCUAUUUGUGGGGGAUAACGUAGGGAAACUUACGCUAAUACCGCAUACGACCUACGGGUGAAAGUGGGGGACCGCAAGGCCUCACGCAGAUAGAUGAGCCGACGUCGGAUUAGCUAGUUGGCGGGGUAAAGGCCCACCAAGGCGACGAUCCGUAGCUGGUCUGAGAGGAUGAUCAGCCACACUGGAACUGAGACACGGUCCAGACUCCUACGGGAGGCAGCAGUGGGGAAUAUUGGACAAUGGGCGCAAGCCUGAUCCAGCCAUGCCGCGUGUGUGAAGAAGGCCUUCGGGUUGUAAAGCACUUUUGUCCGGAAAGAAAAGCUUAGGGUUAAUAACCCUGAGUCAUGACGGUACCGGAAGAAUAAGCACCGGCUAACUUCGUGCCAGCAGCCGCGGUAAUACGAAGGGUGCAAGCGUUACUCGGAAUUACUGGGCGUAAAGGUGCGUAGGUGGUUUGUUAAGUCUGAUGUGAAAGCCCUGGGCUCAACCUGGGAAUGGCAUUGGAAACUGGCUUACUAGAGUGCGGUAGAGGGUAGCGGAAUUCCCGGUGUAGCAGUGAAAUGCGUAGAUAUCGGGAGGAACAUCCGUGGCGAAGGGGGCUACCUGGACCAGCACUGACACUGAGGCACGAAAGCGUGGGAGCAAACAGGAUUAGAUACCCUGGUAGUCCACGCCCUAAACGAUGCGAACUGGAUGUUGGGGGCAACUUGGCCCUCAGUAUCGAAGCUAACGCGUUAAGUUCGCCGCCUGGGAAGUACGGUCGCAAGGCUAAACUCAAAGGAAUUGACGGGGGC
rnacentral:rRNA from 1 species